GCCCGUGUGGAUCAAUCGAACCGCGCACUGGACUCACAAUCCAGAGGUCGCUGGUUCGAAUCCCGCGGCGAGCG
rfam:Culex pipiens quinquefasciatus supercont3.872 genomic scaffold, whole genome shotgun sequence.